rnacentral:rRNA from 1 species
CCUACGGGAGGCAGCAGUGGGGAAUAUUGGGCAAUGGGCGCAAGCCUGACCCAGCAAUGCCGCGUGAAGGAAGAAGGCUUUCGGCUCGUAAACUUCUUUGACAGGGGAAGAGCAGAAGACGGUACCCUGAAGACAAGCCACGUCUAACCACGUGCCCGCAGCCGCGGUAAUACGUAGGUGGCGAGCGUUGUCCGGAUUUACUGGGUGUAAAGGGCGUGUAGCCGGGAAGGCAAGUCAGAUGUGAAAGCUGGAGGCUCAACCUCCAGAUUGCUUUUGAAACUGUUUGUCUUGAGUACAGGAGAGGCAGGCGGAAUUCCUUGUGUAGCGGUGAAAUGCGUAGAUAUAAGGAGGAACACCAGUGGCGAAGGCGGUCUGCUGGACAGCAACUGACGGUGAGGCGCGAAAGCGUGGGGAGCAAACAGGAUUAGAUACCCUUGUAGUC